UACGGAGGGAGCUAGCGUUGUUCGGAAUUACUGGGCGUAAAGCGCACGUAGGCGGCUUUGUACGUUAGAGGUGAAAGCCCGGGGCUCAACUCCGGAACUGCCUUUAAGACUGCAUCGCUUGAAUCCAGGAGAGGUGAGUGGAAUUCCGAGUGUAGAGGUGAAAUUCGUAGAUAUUCGGAAGGACACCAGUGGCGAAGGCGGCUCACUGGACUGGUAUUGACGCUGAGGUGCGAAAGCGUGGGGAGCAAACAGG
rnacentral:rRNA from 1 species